UACGGAGGGAGCUAGCGUUGUUCGGAAUUACUGGGCGUAAAGAGCGCGCAGGCGGUCGUUCAAGUCGCGUGUGAAAGCCCCCGGCUCAACUGGGGAGGGUCACGCGAUACUGAUCGACUCGAAGGCAGGAGAGGGUAGUGGAAUUCCCGGUGUAGCGGUGAAAUGCGUAGAUAUCGGGAGGAACAUCAGUGGCGAAGGCGGCUACCUGGCCCAAUACUGACACUCAGGUGCGACAGCGUGGGGAGCAAACAGGG
rnacentral:rRNA from 1 species